GUAAAUUAAACCCAGUGUAUGCAUAGGAAAGGAAAUAGUAAAGAUCAGAAGAAAGAUCAAUGAAAUAUAAAACAGAAAAAUAGAAAAAAAUAAAUGAAACCAAAAGCUAGUUCUUUGAGAAGAUCAAUAAAAUUGAUAAACCUCUAGUCAGACUCUUAAGGAAAAAAAAAGAUACAGGGCACAAAUUACUAAUACCAAGAAUGAGAGAAGUGGCUUGACUGCAGAUUAUGCUGAUUUUAAUAAGGUUAAUGAGAGAAUAUUAUGAACAACUUAGAUGUGAAUAAAUUCAGCAACUUAGGUGAAAUAGACAAAUUCAUUUUGAAAGACGCAAACUACAAAAGCUUACUCAAGAAGAAAUAGAUAACUUGAAUAACUCUAUAUCUGACAAAGAAAUUGAAUUUGUAGUUAAAAAUCUUCCUGUGAAGAAAAUGGGAGGCCCAAAUGGCAUCACUUGGAAAUUCUAAACUUUUAACGAAAAAAAAGCCAAUUCUCACAAACUCUUCCAAAAGAUUGAAGAGAAGGGAAUACUUUCCAACUCAUUUCAUGAGGCCAACUUUACUCUAAUACUAGAAAACAGACAGACAUUACGAUAAAAGAAAAUUACAGACCAAUAUCCCUCAUGAACGUAGAUGCAAACAUUCUAAAUAAAAGGGAACUCAUAAUCCAUUACUAAAAGCAAAACCCUAAUGACUCUCUUAAUUCUGUUGAAGUUUUUUGUAGAAAGUCACAUGCAUUUAUAUUUCUAAUAAAGUAUAUACUAUUGAUAUACAUUUUAGUGUUUGGUGUUCCUAAGAAACUGAUUCGGUGUGAGGAAGCGCCAGAACAGAAAGAAGCCACAGAGAGAAAUGGCUUUGCCUUCCAGGGGACUUUAUAACCGCUUUCACUAUGUGAAGUGGUCUAUAUACCACAUUUUGGGAAAUACUGGACUAGAGAAGAUGUCAUAGUGUCCUGUGUUGUUUAGAAUGCUGCUUUUUUUGUGCAUUUAUGUUUCAAGUUAUAGCACCUCCCUUCCAGGACAAAAAAGCUACUAGGAGUAAGUAUGGGGGAAAAAGCAUAUUUACAGGAAGAAACAUUUUGGAUUGUAUUUUAACUCAUAUUUUGUGCCAAUAUGGAUAUGAAGCAGUUAUGAGGAUGUUCCUUUUUGCCUAUGUGAUAAAGUUGUCCUCUUCUAGUCCAUACCAUUUCUCUGGAGCUUCACCUGUAGCUCUGGGUAAAAGGAGACUAUAGCCUAAAGGCUCCCAAGUUAGGCACUCUUUCUCUCAUUUUCCUGUUAAAAUAAGACCUUUCACUUUAGUUUCCUUCUGUUACUGCUCAGGGGGUAAGCUUGUGAGGGCAGGCCCGUGUCUGUCUGGUUUAUCACUGUGUCUGUAGCACCACACCUCCUCGGCACAGAGUAGGGGCUGAGUGAAUAUUUGUUGAACUAAUGAAUGAGUGAACGAGCAAGCAUAUUCAUACAAGGACUUGUCAGGUGAGCAGGUCAAAUAUUAUUGAGGGUGGAACUGAGGCAAGGGGAAGUUAUGAGGUAUCUUUAAUGUCAGAUGAUCAGGGACUGAAAUGGGACUUGUAAGUCUUUUGCCCUUUUAUAGUGUAGGUCCUUGAAAUAUGUUUGUGGAAUAAAUGAGUUAGUGAAAGAACAAUGUAUGUUGUUCUCUUAAACACACUCAUAUUUUAUUGGAUGAAAAGGGAAACUUUUAAAGAGAGAGAAACUGCCUUUGUGGCUUCAUGUUGUGAGGAACUAGGCCAGGUGGGAAUGAGGAGACAGAAUGGGCAGAUUUAAAGUGACUUAAGUAUCUUAGAAGUAACUGAACAUAUUGUCUAUUAGUAAGAGUAAUUUAAUGGUGGGAUGACAGGGAGUGCCUUAAACUAGCUCACAAACCAGUUUUUGUCUUUGUCAUAAAUAUGUGAUUAAGAAGAAACUUGUUUCAUGCUGGAAAAUUCUUCUUGUGAGAUCUUUAUUUUGGUACACAAUGCACCAAAACAUUUGUUUCUAUUUACCUUGAAAAAACCCCCUCCAGAGAUAGCAUGUGGGGAGCAGCCAUCUGUUCAGGAUUACACUUCUGAAUUGCUGUUUCUCUGAACCCGCCUGACUCUGUAUAUGUUCAUGUAACAUAUCAGGACUGUUUCCCCCCUUUAUCAAGUUCGUUUAUCAACACCGUCGAAAGGAUGUACUUAUAUUCUAGUGUGCAUUAGAACUGUUAAUUGGCUAUUGCAUAACAGGUUAAACUGGGAACCCUGGAGUCUCUGGAUUCAGUUGCUGAUUGUUUUUACUCUGCCAUCAGACCUCGGAACAAGUCAUUAUAUAUGUCUUACCUUUCCCCAAAAUAAAUAGCUUUAAAUGUUCAUGAAAUUAGGGGCAGCUCAGAUGCUGUGUAGCUGGUUAGGACUCUAGUAGCAGUGGGCUGAGGUACAGUAGAAGGGAAAAGAGAAGUAUGUAUAACAGUAAUCUUGAUUCUUAUGCCCACUACUCCCAUUGGACCCCUAAGACUCUGAUACUGCACAAGUGGAGAGAGACCCCGCUAUCGCCAGGUAAGCAUCUCUUCUGGGUGAAACUAUGCUGCCUUAACACUGAUAUAGACUUUAAAAAGGCUGUUUUCAUGUGCAUAAUCUCACAUCAACCUCAUUUCAAACACAGAGGGAAAUAGGGCAAAUUUUAUUACCCCAGUUUGUGUGUGUGUGUGAGGAAAAUAGGCCCUGAGCUAACAUCUGUUGCCAGUUUUCCUCUUUUCACUUGAGGAAGCUUGUCAUUAACAUCUGUGCCAAUCCUCUUCUAUUUUGUAUAUGGGAUGCAGCCACAGCAUGGCUUGAUAAUCGGUGUGUAAGUCCGUGCCCAGGAUCUGAACCCAUGAACCCUGGGCUGCCGAAGCGGGGCAUGCGAACUUAACUACUACGCCACCUGGCCAGCAUCUAUUACCCUAGUUUUACUGGUGACAAAAUGGAGGCUCUAAUUGUCUAGGUGAUUUGGUCAAAGUCACACAAUUAUUGGGUCAUAGAGCCAGGACCUGAGCUCAUACUUUCUGAUCCCCUUCCUAUUAUGCUAAUUCUUUGAUUUAUCUUGGAAAAGACAUAUAAGGAGUUAAAGGCAUGUUUCAUUUAUAGUUGGUGUGGUGUUAACUUCUUUGACUCCCUUGCAAAAUUUUAUUUGCCUUUAAGCAAGAUCCUUUAACUUAAGCAAAAACUACACCAAACAAAACCAUCCUUACAAUAUAUAGCAUACAUAUAAAGAACUAAAGGGCAACACUCUCAGCUAAAAGAAAACAUUUUGUGUUUCAUUACAGAGCAGUUUUACAGCCCAAAUAGAAGCAAUUGUGAACCAGCUAAGAGGUUUUUCCUGUUACCUUAUUUGAUGAAGUUUCUUUACUGAACCUCCAAGGUCACUCUCAUAUAAAGAAACAGAGUAACAUCUGGAUUUCAAAGAAAAUUAAUCACUUCUUAAAGCUGUCCAAUUACUCUGUUAGAAGGUAUUGUUGUUAAGAAAUUAAAAUGGAAAUACCAGUGCUUGUCUCCUGAGAUUUGGUUGGAGAACCUUCUGGAUUCUAUUCUGUAGUUUGGCUCCUCUGACCUUGGACACAGCUUUUUAACCUUUCUUAACUCAUCUAAAACGUGCCUCAUAGAGGUUUGUUUUGGGUUUAGAAAUGCUUUGACAUUUUUGGAUUAAAGGUGAAGUGGACAAAAAUGCUAUUCUAAGGAAGCUUGGAGGCUAAUGAAAUAUUUUUAUUAUUCUUUUCAACUUUCGUCUCUGGAAGGGCAAGGAGUGUUUUAUUCUUGGAUCAUUUACUUAUUCAGCAAACAUUUACUGAGUACCAUGUACUACACCAUGACCAGCACCCUCCUCUGCUCUCCUGGUGCGGUGCCAUCAGGCGAUGCUUCUGAAAACACGGCAAAGGACCUUUAUUUCCCUUAUGGAAUGUGAGUGCUUGGUGGCCCUAUAUAGGCAAGAGUGGAAUUUUCUGUCUCCCCCAUAUAUAACUUGUACUUUACAAUAUCCUGCCUUACUGCUAUUGAAUGUGUCACAAGCAUUUGCUAUUAGAAGGUAAGCUCCUUGAAGGAGGAAUCCAUGGCUUACUUUUCCAUUACUCUAUUCAGUACAAAAGAGUAGUGAGGAAUUCUUUACCAAGGAGUCCACGAUGGAUGCGUUUCGCAGCACUUGUGUACUCCCUGAAACUGUAAAACAUUAUUUUUGCAUGUACAGUUUUCUGUGAAGAAGGUCCAUCAUUUUCAUUAGAUUCUCAAAGGGGUAAGUGGCUCGUGGUUGACCUCUGUAGGUUAACCACUCUAAUGGGCUUUUGAUGACUACUUGAAUGGUAGAAACUAUAGAAAAACAGAUAUGACCUUGAUGUAUGAGACAGUGUUGUCAUGAUUAGAAGUCAUGCUUGGGGAUGGCUCUCAGUUCUACAACACUGGAGAUGUUAAAUUAACAGCUGGAUAACCCUUCAGUGAUAAUAAUGUAGGGAUGUUGAUCUACUCUCUUUGCUCUAUGAUUCUAUGAUAAUAUCAGUCUUCACUAGAGAAUACUUCUAAUUCUUCACGUACAUGUACCCUCUCAUUUCCGUUUUUGUGUGACUCAGUCUUUGGACUAUUUAUACACCUAAAGAAUCUUUUUGAUGGAUAACCAGAGGCCUACAAAUUAAUCCAUGAGAACCAUGGCCCUGAGGAUAUGUGAAAUACCGAAUAACAGGCAGGGAGCUUGGCAUGAACUCUAGAAAUAAAGAGAGGGUAGAAUGAUUUUUGAGUUGAGGAUAGAAGUAUCAGAAGAUAGGAGUUGACAAGCAGGUUGACACAGUUGCUAAUAGGUUAAACAGACUAGGAUUUAAUUGAGUGCUAAAUUGGGCUAGUUACCUUUAAAUUUAGGCCUCUGAGCAAUUUUGGUUUGUGCUGCAAUUUUGCUACUUUCAUUCAAAGAAAUUAGGACAAUGCAACUCCAGAGAUGAGUUGCAGAAAUGCAAAGUAGUAAAAACAUAUUCAUUUUCAAGUAUGAACAUAUACAGGUUUGUGCAUGAGUAUAUAAAUGUAUGCAACAACAUGCUCGUGCCUUGAUACCUGUGGAGAUGUGGAUCCAUCCACAUGAAUGCAUUACUUCACACAUAUACCAAAUGUAAGGAGGAUUAAAUACUUAUCUAAUAGAAAACUUUCACUUGCAGGGAAAUAGGAAAUAGAGCAUUUCAAAGCAGUCGAAUAUCCAAUGGAUGAGAAAAAUAUUUUAGGUAAUAUACUGAUGCCUCUUUCAGGGUUAAUGUCAUGAAACUUCACAGGGUGUAUAAGUAUCUGAAUAGAGACAGAACUCAAGCUGAUAGUAUCAUACCAAGUGAUAGUGUAGGUGAGAGAAGUCCUAAAGAUAUCCAUUAUAGUCUAAAGGAAACUGGCUAUAUUACAUGCUCCAGUUUUCCUUGGAGAAGUGUGUUUGUUAAAUUGUGAUCACCAACAUCUCCAGUCCCAGUUUUUUAGGUUGGACGUAGGGGGCCUUUAAGCAAGUGCUUCCUCAGAAUGCUUUCUGGUGAUCUUCUAAGCUGGCUGUUUUCCUCUUUAGCAUUCUGCAAAGUCUCACUUAGCAUCCUUUAGCUUGUGAAUUUUUGAUGAGUAUGGUACUGCUAUUUUUACAUAAGUUUUGUAAACUCCUUUGAGGAAUGCAGAGGUACAUGGAAAGAAGAAGAUUGUGGUGAGCUUCUUCCUUUAUUUAAUCCGUCCAUGCCCCAACCUCACAGAGACCAGUAUAAAGCUGUAGCUGUAAAAGCUAACUGAUUUGCCCAGUGUUUUUGUUUUGAAGGACAUCAACUAUUUUUAGCAACAAAGAAGUGUUAGGAAGGGGAGGAAGGCAUACCUCAGGACAGAGCUGAAAUGAAGCCCAGAAUCCUGAAGAGAGUGGAGUGGAAAAGCAAGAGUACCUUAGUGAAAGGUCGCCUAAGUGGAGAGUGUAGAUCUAAUGUUCUGGAUGGUUGUAGGAAACCCUCAAUUAAGAGCUCUGUUAAUGGAGAAUUUAGGAAAUGUUAUUAAAAAUUCUCUUAGCCAGCCUAAUAAAGGACAUCAGGACGUGCAAACUGAGCUCGUUGUUUAAUUUGUACAGUAAUCUGUAUUUUGGGGGGGGGGGUUUGAAAUCAACUAUCAACAUGCUUAUUGAGCAACUAUACUUGUACAAAGCAUUGUGCUAGGAAAUGUGUGUGAAGGGUGGGAGGAUGGCAUUUAAAAAUACAAGAUGAGUACAUGUUCUCCAAAAAUAUACAGGAAGCUAUGUGUUAGGAACUGUGUUGGGUGCUUUCCAUAUGUUAUCCCAUUUAAUCUUUCAAACAAAUAUUAGGAAUUAUAAUCAUCCCUAUUUUACAGAUGAACAGCCUGAGACUCAGAGAAGUUAAAUUCUUUCCUCCCUCUUUUCCCUCCCUCCUGCCUUCCUUCCUGUUUCCUUCUCUUUCUUUCAACAAAGUUGAACUAAAAGGCUAAUAGAACAUGGUGUCUUUCUCCCAAGGUUUCACUUUGUCUGAAGGUAGCAGAAUUGUAGCUAUGUAAUUGCUGCUAUAGCAGAGGAAUGAACUCAGCAAUAUGGGAGUUCAGAGUAUGAAGCCUUCUGUUCUAUGUGGAUAUCAGAGAAGACUUCCUGGAAGAGGACAUGUUUGAGUUGAGUCUUAAAAGAUAAGAAAGAGUCCGUUAGUAGACAAGGAAGAUAAGGCAACAGUAACAGCGUGGCAGAUACUGCUGGCUUCUCGCUCAACAGCCAUUACCUUUUGUCUUUCUGGAGAAAGCCAAGAUUUUGCUCAGGUGUUCCUUUUCCUACUUGAUCUGAGGGAGAGUGACCGUAUCCCUACCUUCAGGAGUAAGUACUGAGUGGUUUAAGCCGAUUAUGGUGAGUCCAUCCCUCUAGUUUGAUUAGCUUAGGGGUGGGCAUUUGAACGAGUUCUGGCCAAGGCCAUAUAAAAGGAAAUCUGCUGGGUGACUUAGGAAAUGUUUCUUGCCCUUAAGAGGGAGACACUGGAAGAGAUAGCCAUCUUUUUUUGUCUCUAGGUAUUGCUGUACUUGGAAGGGAUGUUUAGAACUACCACGGCCGUCUUGUGACCAUGAAGGGAGCCAAUCUGAGGGCAAAUAAAAUUUUCUGAGGAUGGUAAAGCAAAGAAAUAAAAACCAGUGUCUUCAAUGACAUCGUUGAGUUCAUGGACAACUGUGCCUGCUUUUCAAUUCAUGUUACCUGGUGUUAUAAUUGUCUUUGUUCCAUCAGCAGGUUUGGAUUGAAGUCUUCUGCAAUGGCAUCCUCACUGAUAACAGAGCAGAUGCAAAUCAUAGGGCUCAGAAAGGUCACAGGGCACUUAGAAAUGGACAAUAGUUCCUCACGUCUGAAAUGCAGGAUAUUGUGGAGUGGAGAGUGUGAUGACGGCUAGAGAUAAGGUGAAAUACUAGACAAGGGUCAGAUCAUGAAGGGCCUUGUAUGUUAGGAUCAGACAUUUGCACUUUAUUUUGUACGUACUGGGGAGGCAUUGAAAAGUUUCAAGCAAGGUAAUGGUAUAAUUAGGUUUGCAGUUUAGAAGCAUUCGUCUGACUACUGUGUGGUGGAUUGAAGAGUACCCUCUGAUAAGACACCGAGGUCAUUCAGUUCAAGAACAAAUGGAUUCACAUGCAGGUGGGUCUCUCUCCAUUAUCCUUCCAUUUUAGCUUGGAAAGACAGAGGUUAAGAAAAUAUAUGCAAAGUGGGAAAUUAGAGGAGCAGACAGUAAGCAUUUCAGAAUUUCAUCAGAGAAGAGCACGUUGGGGGUCAUGGAGAGUUUCAAGAAACAGAUUGGAUUUGAGCUGAAUGCCGAAGGACUUAGAAACCUUGGAGGUUGAGUAGAGCAUGAAACAACACAGAGGAAUGGCAAGUCAAGCUGGAAUGGAGAGUUUUAUGGGGGGAGGAUAAAGAUGGGAUGGUCACUUGCAAUCAAAAGGGCAGAGAAAAGAAAUGAAUCUUUACCCUGAUUCCACCACUUAGCAGUUGUGGAAUGCUGGGUUUGAUAUACUUUUAUUUCCUAAUUGUUUUAAUUGGGAUUACAAACAUACGCUUUAUUAACAUCACCAAGCGAUGUCAUACAGAUAUCGGAUGCCCCCUGAUGUCAUGUGAUGAGAAAGACACUUGCCUGUGUGGUAUCCUUUCCAAAAACCCUAACCCUGGUCUAAUCAUGAGAAGAACAUCAGACAAACCCAAUUUGAGGAACAUUCUACAAAAUAUCUGACUAGCACUCCUCAAGACUGUCAAGGUAAUGAAAAACAAAGACAGACUGAGAAACUGUCACAGACCAGAGGAAACUAAGAGGACAGGACAACUGAAUGCCAUGUAUAUUCUGGACUAGAUCCUAGAUCAGAAAAAAGACAUUAAUGAAAAAAAUAGUGAAAACUGAAUACAAUUUAGGUUUAGUUCACACUAAUUUACCACCGUUGGUUUCUUAAUUCUGACAAACUAACCACCGUAAUAUAAAUAGUAACAACAGGGGCCAAUGAAACUGAGUGAGGGAUAGGCUAUCACUGCUGUCUUUGCAACUUUUCCAUAAAUCUAAAAUUAUUCCAAAAUAAAGAUUUUAUUUAAAAACAAGAUCUCCUUCACUGAGUUGUUAUGAGGAUUGAGUGAAAGGAUCCAUAUAAGGCAGCUGGUAUAGUGCCUGACGCAUAACAGGGCCUCAAAUGUUUCUCUCUAAACUAGAGAUUCUCAAAUUUAGGGUGUGUAAAAAUCACCUAGAGGUGUUUUGUCAGAAAUGCAAACAAACCCCAGGGCAUCAGUCUCAGAGAUUCUGAUUUAGUAGGUCUAGAAUAGGGCUCAGGAAAAAGAAUUUGUUAAUAGGUGCCCUCUAGAGAUCUUGAUGUGGGGCUUGCUGCUCUAGACUAUAGGGAUCCUGGGGUGAGAGCUGUACAUUCCCCUGAGGAGGAAAAUAAUGGAGAUAUAACGCCUGCCUACUUGCCUCAAAUGGGUGGAAGGGAGAAAAGGGGAAAAUAUAGAAGCAAGCGCUUCAAAAAUUGUAAGUUACAAUUUAAAUCGUUACAGAUUAAUUUGGGAUGAAACAGAGGUCUGAUUAGCUAGCCAUUUAAUAAUAACAGUGUGGUUGAAAUCUAACUUUUAUUCAUUUCAGCCACCUAAAAAUAUUCAGCUGCUUUUCCUGCUGAAGCACUCAGAUGACCCACAGGACAAAGGCACAGUUCAACCCCUUCAAUUACGGAUGAGCUAAAUGAAGCUGAGGGACGAGAUGUGACUGGUUCAAGGUCACAGAACCAGUGACUGAGAGAACGGAUUAGAACCCACUCUUUUUUUCAGCUUCAUUGAGGUAUAAUUGAUAAAUAUUGCAUAUGUUUAAGGUGGACAGUGUGGUAGUUUGAUAUACAUGUGCAUUGUGAAGUGAUCACCACGAUCAAGCUGAUUAACAUAUCCGUCACUUUCCAUGGUUAGCAUCUUGUUUGUGUGUGGUGAGAACACUUAAGAUUUACCCUCUUAGCAAAUUUCAAGUAUACAAUACAGUAUUGUUAACUAUAGUCACUGUGCUGUACAGUAGAUCUCUAGGACUCACUCAUCUUGCAUAACUGAAACUUUGUACCCUUUGACCAACAUCUCCCCAUUUCCUCCUCCCCUCAGCCCCUGGCAACCACCAUUCUGUUCCCUGCUUCUAUGAUUACGCCUAUUUUAUAUUCCACAUAUAAGUGCGAUCAUGUGGUAUUUGUCUUUCUGUAUUUGGCUUAUUUCACUCAGCAUAAGGUCCUGCAGGUUCAUCCAUGUUGUUGCAAAUGGCAGGAGUACAUUUUUUUUUAAGGCUGAAUAAUAUUCCAGUGUGUGUGUGUGUAUGUGUGUGUGUAUCUCACAUCUUCUUUAUCUGUUCAUCUGUUAAUGUUUCCCAGAUUAUUUCCGUAUCUUGGUUAUCUUGAAUAAUGCUGCAAUGAACAUGGGAGUGCAGCUAUCUCUUCGAGAUGGUGAUUUCAUUUCCUUUGGAUAAAUACCCAAAAGUGGGAUUGCUGAAUCAGACGGUAGUUCUCUUUUUAGGUUUUUGAGGAAUUUCCAUACUGUUUUCCAUAAUGGCUGUACCAGUUUACAUUCUCACCAACAGUGCACAACAGUGGAAGCCACUCUUGCAAGCUCCAAUCAAGGUGUUCUUUCUGCUACCAGAUGAUCAUUGAUCGCUGCACUCAGAGUUUCAGACCUUUCACAUGGGCUCUGGAGAAAGAGAAAGGCUGUCUGACUUAUUGAGGAGGAUGCCAAAAGUUUGUUAACCUAAGUCCUGCUCUUGGCUCACUGUGUUCUAGAAUAACUCAGUUUUCACUUCAGCUAGAUAGAGUAAAAUGGGAUCAUCUGCCUGGGAAAACGGCCCUUUGUGGACAGUCCUCAAUCAUGCUUGGAUUCCGCAUCAUCAGCCACGUCAGCAACGUGUCAUUAACCUGAAAAAACUCACCAGGCCUUCAGAAUGCUGAGUGACAGAUGAGGCGCACCUCCGUGCUCUGGCUCUGCCUAACCACACCACCAUGAAAUACAUUGCUUAUAACUCUACCAUUCCUUCUGUAUCCCAAGGUUACUUGUAGGAGAAAUAGAAACCAAGGCGUAUCACUGUGUUUCCUCGUCUCUCUAACUUGAUAUGGGUGAAAUCAGUUUUAAAUUAAGGUCGUCCUCUCACCACGUUUUGCUUUGCCCCUCUGCUCACAUUGCAGCUUUCUGGGCUGUGCUCUGAGAAGUGAGGUAUGAGCGUGGCUGCCCACGUUUCCUACGGUCUGUCUGCGAGUCACCAUCACCCCUCGGGGUUGAUGAGUGCAGCAAGUAGGCUUUCACUGAAUCUCCACUUUCUUCCCUUUUUUUCCCCUAGAUGCUUUUCCCCGGCCCAGAAAGAACUUUUCCUUCUACCCCGUGUCCUGAGAAAUGCCAUUACAUCAUAAACUAUAUCCUUCCUCCUCUGUGACGUAUGUUAAAGACGCUUUGCUCUGAAUACUCCAGGUUUUGGGCCUAUAAAUCCUUUUAUCCUACAACAAAUCCUGGCUCUUGCAAAUGCAAUCAAGCUUUAGCUUUAAGAGUUACUUUCUCCAAAAUAAUUUUUGUUUAAGAAUCUAUCAUGAAAGCCAGAAUUUAAAAACUGAGGAAGAAGGGCAGGUAGUGAGGGACUGGACUGAAAACAGAGAUUGUUAAAAUGUGCAUUUUGAGUGGGAAGAUCCUUCAGCUUCCUUCCAUAUCCGGUUAUCUUUCCUCAGGAAGCUACAGGAGGAUGUGUUCCACCAAUAUGAGGGACUAAACCAAGAAAGAGGAAGUGUGGGAUUCAGGAAGCAGGAAAAUAUGUAGGGAAUUCUCAGGAUGGUGCUGAAGGAAAAUCCCAGGAUAACAGCUGUGCAUUAGGUCCAGACUGGAAGAGAGGAUGGAGGGCACCAGGGAAAAAGGAUCAUCGAGUUGCUUUUACUGUAUGGAAAGUUGAACUGAGUUGCUGUUAAAGGGCCUGGGCAGAUCUAGCUUCUAGAACAAGAUGAAAAAAAGAAUCUCACCAAAUUCUAAGGAGGAACAGUUACUGAUUCCAGAAAAAAAAAAGUUGCACCAAGAAGGACAGGUAAUCAUAGUCAGCCACUUAAUUCAGCAGUGAACAAUAUUUAAAUGUCCAAUUAAUGUAAGCUCUGACUAUUGCUUUGAUUAAAAAAGAAAACACGGCAUAUAUUUAUGAUGGAAAAAUGGGGAGAGGAAGAUGGAUGUGAGUGUAGAGUAGUACUCUCAUCUUUUAUGUUACUCUUGUCCUUGUUGUUUACAGCCAGUUAAGGAUUUGUAUCUGGUACUCCUCUUCAUGAUCCCUGCUACAGUGCUGCGCUCUUGUCAUUUCAGAAGUUCUCUUUCUUCAACUUUCUCUGCCUUCUUUUUUCCUAGAGCUUCAUUUCAAUCCCCUGCUCUUUGAGAACUCUUCUCUACUGUCUCAUUAGCAUUUUUUCUUACAAUUUCUCAG
rnacentral:lncRNA from 1 species